CAGCAGCCGCGGGAAUACGAAGGGUGCAAGCGUUACUCGGAAUUACUGGGCGUAAAGCGUGCGUAGGUGGUGGUUUAAGUCCGUUGUGAAAGCCCUGGGCUCAACCUGGGAAUUGCAGUGGAUACUGGGUCACUAGAGUGUGGUAGAGGAUAGUGGAAUUUCCGGUGUAGCAGUGAAAUGCGUAGAGAUCGGAAGGAACAUCUGUGGCGAAGGCGACUAUCUGGGCCAACACUGACACUGAGGCACGAAAGCGUGGGGAGUAAACAGGAUUAGAUACCCCGGUAGUCCCUGUCUCUUAUAA
rnacentral:rRNA from 1 species